CCUACGGGAGGCAGCAGUGGGGAAUAUUGCGCAAUGGGCGAAAGCCUGACGCAGCGACGCCGCGUGAGGGAUGAAGGUCUUCGGAUCGUAAACCUCUGUCAGCAGGGAAGAACGGUCACUGUGCUAAUCAGCAGUGAAUUGACGGUACCUGCAAAGGAAGCACCGGCUAACUCCGUGCCAGCAGCCGCGGUAAUACGGAGGGUGCGAGCGUUAAUCGGAAUUACUGGGCGUAAAGCGCUCGUAGGCGGUAUGUCAAGUCAAGGGUGAAAUCCCCGCGCUCAACGUGGGAACUGCCUUUGAAACUGGCGAACUGGAGUGGGUGAGAGGAUAGUGGAAUUCCAGGUGUAGGAGUGAAAGCCGUAGAUAUCUGGAGGAACAUCAGUGGCGAAGGCGACUAUCUGGCACAUAACUGACGCUGAGGAGCGAAAGCGUGGGUAGCAAACAGGAUUAGAUACCCGAGUAGUC
rnacentral:rRNA from 1 species